rnacentral:lncRNA from 1 species
AGUGCCGUCAGAGGGUUGCCGGGGAAAGGAGAUUGGCUGGCGAGGAAGAUGAGGAAUGUGCUGCCAGGAGACUGGGAUCAUGGCCAGAUGCUAAUUACGAUGGCCUGGGGGUGCUGGUACCCCCUGUCAGCAUCAUAUCAGCCUCUCCACUUCAAAUCUUGCCCCUCUGAUGUUAGAAUCUGGCUUCAACCAUCCCGUGAUUCUGCAGAGCCUCGUGCCUUACUUCUCCUGGCUUCUGUCUGUCGUCACUUCUGUUCUCCACCACCCUGGCCUCAAUCGAACACGUUUUCUCUGAUGCAAAACUCGACCUUCAUUUACAGAAAGGGUUAACUCAAGAGGCUUGGGAUGGUUCAACCCUGCACAUCUCAGAGGAAGGACUGGCUCUUCACCUGUUCCUGCAAGAUAACUGCUAACGGCUUAAAAUAUUCUGCCUGAUAAGAGGGCUUGUGUAUAUCUGGGGCCUUGGGCCAUGCCAGAUAGUUGAUGCUAACAACAUGAUUUAUGGUGGGUGCCUGGGGUCAUGCUGUAUCAGCCUGACCUCUGGAGGGGCUGGACACUGGGUAACUGAUCCCCAAGAAAAGCCAUGGACACUAAGGCUCAGGUGAGUUCCCCUAGUUGGCAAUGUUUUGUGUGUGUUGUCACACAUCAUUGCUGGGAGAAUUAAGCACUGCACAUAUGACUAUCUAGGAGGGUACAGCUGGAAGCUCCUGCCUGGAUUCUGCCCUGAGCACCUUUUUCCGUUGCUGAUUUUAUUUAUCUAUUUAUUUAUUUUUGAGAUGGAGUCUCGCUCUGUCGCCAAGGUUGGAGUGCAGUGGCUGGAUCUCGGCUCACUGCAACCUCCACCUCCCAGGUUCAAGUGAUUCUCCUGCUUUAGCCUCCCAAGGAGCUGGGAUUACAGGCGCCAGCCACCAUGGCUGGCUAGUUCUUAUAUUUUAGUAGAGACAGGGUUUUGCCAUGUUGGCCAGGCUGGUCUCGAACUCCUGAGCUCAAGUGAUGUGGCCACCGGCCUCGACCUCCCAAAGUGCUGGGAUUACAGGCAUGAGCCACCACGCCUGGCCCCUUUGCUGAUUUUUAAUCCGCAUCCUUCCACUGUAUUAAGCUGUAACUGUGAAUACAACAGCUUUUUUUAGUUCUGCAAGUCUUUGCAGCAAAUCGUCAUACCUGAGCGUGUCUUGGGGACUCCCCAACACAUCUUCCCACUCCCUCUUCUCUUUUCUCACUUCCUCUGGAGUAAACUGAAAGAGGCCCCUGCUUGCCUCUUGCAAGGCAGUUCUGAACACACUGAGAUCAUUUGUGGUCUCAUAUCCUCUUCUAAGCAAUUCAUCAAGAAAUUUCUUUCAAAUAAACCCAGUGCUCUUCAUGGAGGUGAUGCUGGUGAAAAUGACUUUCUCCAGCUUAUUACACACGUUUGCAGAAGCUCCUGUUUAAGAGUUUGAGCAUGUAUGUGUGUGUGCCUAUACACCAGCACAUACACGCAUGCCCACAGCUGUCAUGCCUUCACCAGAACCAGGACGAGGAUUCUAUUGCCAGAAUUGAAGAAUCAUUUCCACAUAUUAUAAGGUCAGUGAAAGUACAAUGAAAAAUACACCUGCCAGCAUGCCUAUGCGUGGCCUUUCUGCAAAUAAGAUGAAGGUCCCUUCACCACCUGCUCGCACUGCUAAUGGCCCUGUAGAUUCCACUGGAUGGAUUUGUACUUUUCUCAACCAUUUCCCCUAAUGUUGGAUAUUUGGGUUGUUUCUAACAUUUUUACUCUUCCAAAUAAGGCACCCAUAAUGAUUCUUGCAGAGUAAUCAUUAGGCUCUUCUAUAAUUAUCUAAUUAUCCUUUUUUUUUUUUUUUUUUCUGAGACAGGGUCUUGCUCUGACAUCCAGGCUGGAGUACAGCGGCACGAUCAUGGCUCACUGCAGCCUCAACCUCCCACGCUCAAGUGAUUCCACAGUCUCAGCCUCCUGUGUAGCUGGGAUCACAGGUGUGUGCCACCACGCCUGGCUAACUUUUUGUACUUUUUAUAGAGACGGGGAAUUUUUUGUAUUUUUUUAAAAAGAGACGAUGUCUCACCAUGUUGCCCAGGCUGUUCUGGAACUUCUGGACUCCAGUAAUCCUCCUACCUCAGCCUCCCAAGGUGCUGAGACUAUAGGCAUGAGCCACUGUGCCCAGCCAUAUAAUUAUCUUAAGAUAAAUUUAUAUACAUGAAUUAAAGAGCACAGAUUUUCGUAUGUUGGUUGCUUGGUUUUUAGAGGCAGUAUCUCACUCCAUUGCCCAGGUUGGAGUGCAGUGGUGCAAUCAUAGCUCACUGCACCCUUGAAUUCCUGGGUUCUAGGAGUCCUCCUUCCUCAGCCUCCCAAGCAGCUAGGACUACAGGGUACAUAUGUUUUUAAGAUCUUUGAUAUAUUAUACCUUUUGGGGACUGUAUCAGUUAAAAACUCUACCAGUACUGUAGAAACAUGAUCGUGUCUCUGUUUCCUUGCCACACUGGGCAUUAAUUGCUCGCUCCAUUAAUGAGUUAAUUGCACCAUCAAUAAGAGUAUGGUAAAGUGUGACACAUUUACACUUCAGAAUAUCAUGCUGUAAAGAAUAAGGAUGUAGGCUGGGCGAAGUGGCUCACGCCUGUAAUCCCAGCCUUUGGGAGGUCGAGGCGGGCUGAUCACAAUGUCAAGAGAUGGAGACCAUCCUGGCCAACAUGUUGAAACCAUGUCUCUACUAACAGUACAAAAAUUAGCUGGGCGUGGUGGCAGUUGCCUGUAAUUCCGGCUACUGGGGAGGCUGAGGCAGAAGAAUCACUUGAACCUGGGAGGUGGAGGUUGCAGUGACCCAAAAUGGCGCCACUGCACUCCAGACCCAGGACAGAGUGAGACUCUGUCUCCAAAA